CCCUUAGAUGUUCUGGGCCGCACGCGCGCUACACUGAUGCAUUCAACGAGCCUAUCCUUGACCGACAGGUCCGGGUAAUCUUUGAAUCUGCAUCGUGACGGGGAUAGAUUAUUGCAAUUAUUAAUCUUCAACGAGGAAUGCCUAGUAGGCGCAAGUCAUCAGCUUGCGUCGAUUACGUCCCUGCCCUUUGUACACACCGCCCGUCGCUCCUACCGAUUGGGUGUUCCGGUGAAUUAUUCGGACUGCAACAGUUAUCUGUCGCGGAAAGUCUUGUGAACCUUAACACUUAGAGGAAGGAAAAGUCGUAACA
rnacentral:rRNA from 1 species